rnacentral:lncRNA from 1 species
GCUGGCCAUGCCAGGCCCCACAGCAUGAAAGAUGUCAACCUGAGCUGAAGCCACUUCGAGGGAUGUGUCAAUAAACCAAGAUGUGAGCUUCCUGCUCCUGCCACCAGGCCUGCCUGCUGCUGUGACUCCCAGUCAGGAUGCAUUCUUAUUCUUCUGGAACUGUAUUUACUUCAUUUAUGUUUCAAAUGCUAUCCCGAAAAAAUAGUCUUGCUCCUCCCACAUCCUCCACCAUAACCUGGGUGUGAAGUGAGGUUAACCUGGGUGUGACAUGAGGUUGGGGCUGACCAAGGCAAAUGGACUCCUAGGAGUGUUUGUAGACCAUGAGAUUAAGCAGUCAGCUUGCUCUGCAACACUGCUUUCAUUUUGUUGCCAUCUUACAAACAGCUGCCUCUGGAGCCACCUGCUGACACAGUGUAGAAUCCUUUGCAGCUAAGAUCACUAAGCAAAGCGGCUCUCCAAGCAAACAGGAGAGAAGCUCAAGAUUAGACUCUGCUCCAUGGACUUCCCACAGCCAAGCAGUUAAAUCAUCCUGAAAAUCUCACUGGUCAUGUGAAUACUCGGAUCCAGUAAAUGGGGUAGCCAUGUGAGGUCCUCUAAAACUCAGGGACCUUUGAUUGAAACUACUGUUGACGUGGUUUUGAGCAAGGAAUAAAUACUGAUCAUGGCUUGCCACC